rnacentral:rRNA from 1 species
AUGAGGGCGAUGCGGCUCCUCGCGGCGGUGGCGCUCCUCGCCGCGCUGCUCGCGGUGUCGGCCGCGGCGGCGAAGCUCGAUGUGGACGAGGUGGACGACUCGGAGGUGCUGGAGGCGCUGCUGGCCGUGGACGACGAGGAGGAGGACGCGGCGCCACCGGGCGCAGGCCGGGGCGGGGGCGCGGAGGCAGUGCGGCGGAUGCAGUCCAUAGUGCUGGUGCUCGACAACGACAACGCGGCUCGCGCCGUGCAGGACCACCUGGAGCUGCUGCUCCUCGGGUACGCGCCGUGGUGCGAGCGCAGCGCCAAGCUCAUGCCGCGCUUCGCCGAGGCCUCCGCGGCGCUGCGCGCCAUGGGGAGCGUCGUUGCCUUCGCAAAGCUCGACGGGGAGCGGUUCCCCAAGGCCGCCUCCGCCGUCGGGGUCAACGGCUUCCCCUCCGUGCUCCACUUCGUCAACGGCAUCGAGCACGCCUACACCGGCCUCCACACCAAGUGA